rnacentral:rRNA from 1 species
UGAGGAAUAUUGGUCAAUGGACGUAAGUCUGAACCAGCCAAGUAGCGUGCAGGAUUGACGGCCCUAUGGGUUGUAAACUGCUUUUGUUGGGGAGUAAAGUGAGGCACGCGUGCCUUUUUGCAUUUACCCUUCGAAUAAGGACCGGCUAAUUCCGUGCCAGCAGCCGCGGUAAUACGGAAGGUCCAGGCGUUAUCCGGAUUUAUUGGGUUUAAAGGGAGUGUAGGCGGUCUGUUAAGCGUGUUGUGAAAUUUAGGUGCUCAACAUCUACCUUGCAGCGCGAACUGGCGGACUUGAGUGCACGCAACGUAUGCGGAAUUCAUGGUGUAGCGGUGAAAUGCUUAGAUAUCAUGACGAACUCCGAUUGCGAAGGCAGCGUACGGGAGUGUUACUGACGCUUAAGCUCGAAGGUGCGGGUAUCGAACAGGAUUAGAUACCCUGGUAGUCCGCACGGUAAACGAUGGAUGCCCGCUGUUAGCGCCUGGCGUUAGCGGCUAAGCGAAAGCAUUAAGCAUCCCACCUGGGGAGUACGCCGGCAACGGUG